AUUUGUCAAGGAUUAUUUUUCAUGAUGUUGACUUUAAAAGCAAUGUAAAAUUAGCUGUCUGACUGAAUCAAGUUAUUUUUUUCAAUUAUUUUUUGUAUUAUUUUCUGUACAAACUGUGAACCCACAUUAACAUCAAGCACGUUUCUAUUUAUUACAUACGUGUUCUUAUGCUAUAUAAAACAAAGAAAUACUUUCUGUGCUUUAAAAGCAUUCUGUCUUAUUUUAGAUGUGCUAAAUAGAAUGGCUGUGUUCUAUUAUGUGUAAAAAUUGUUAUUAUGGUUUCGUCACUAAAUUCACCCAUAUACUAAAGUAGAAAAUCUGUUGCAAAAAAUAAACCAACAAACGAAAACUCUCUACAGAAUAUUUUCAGAGGUUAAGCAGUACAUCCCAAUCUAUAAUCUGGAAGUGGAAAUUAUAGCAUCUUGAUCAUAUUCCUUCUUAAUAAACAUGGGCCACAAUGUAAAUAUGGACAUGCUAUAUACCUAUUUUUGCUGGGUAUAACACCACAGAUGCCACCCAGGUAGCUUACAAAUUCACUGUAUUUCUUUCCAUUAUUUGAGUUUUAGUUUAUAGUUUAGAUUAGAUCUGUGCACCAAUUGGUGCAAAAAUGUGCCCAUGAUUUUACUGAAAAAUAUAUACAUAAUACAUUUGCAUUUUGCAGUAC